CCCCCCCCCCCCACCACCACCACCGUCCGACACUCUGUCCAGUCAUCCGAGAUUCAUAAAUAUUUAUAACUUAAUGUUUUUUAUUUAUUUAUAUGUACGAGUAUUUAAUAGUUUGUUGUUGUUUAUUUAUUGGUAAGUGUUAUCAGAAAUUUUGUUUGAACAAUUAUUCUACGAUUAGGAUUGUUAUAUAUGAAACUUUUUUCAUAUAAAUUUUAUUAUGAUCAAUCGAACAGAAAAGAUCAGUAUUAUAUAGUGUCGUUUUGAACAGCUUAUUUAUUUGUUUAUUUCCUCUAUUUUUCCUGUAUGCACGUCGUUAUGUGAUGCGUACAGUUGCUACGUGUUACGUGAAUAAAGUCAUGAAUGUGUACAUCACCACAGCGACAUAUUUCAACACCAUUGUCUUAUUUAGAGCUUGGUAUUGUUAUUCGUACGUGUACGUAUAUAUGAUUGUUAAAUUUAUUUUACACGCAUUGUUGUAUUCGUUUCUGUUAUUGACUGACCCCAGAAAGGUCCCAUUUUAGUCAUCUGUUUUCAUUUCUGUGACAAUGUCAAUAAAACUAUCAGACGGUG
rnacentral:sRNA from 1 species